CCUGGUGCUCAAGGCGCGGUGGAACCACCCCGACCCAUCCCGAACUCGGUGGUGAAACGCUGCAGCGGCGAAGAUACUUGACGGGUCACUGUCUGGGAAAAUAGCUCGGUGCCAGGU
rfam:Halothece sp. PCC 7418, complete genome.